GGCAGCACCUAUGCCAAAUGCUAAAAUUGGAACGACACAGAGAUUGGCACGGCCCCUGCACAAGGAUGACAUGAAAAUUCAGGAAGCUUCCAUGUUUGU
ensembl:snRNA U6 U6 spliceosomal RNA